UACGGAGGAUGCAAGCGUUAUCCGGAUUUAUUGGGUUUAAAGGGUGCGCAGGCGGAUUGAUAAGUCAGUGGUGAAAGCCCCCGGCUCAACUGGGGAAUUGCCAUUGAUACUGUCAAUCUAGAGUACAGUUGAAGUGGGCGGAAUGUAGCAUGUAGCGGUGAAAUGCUUAGAUAUGCUACAGAACACCGAUUGCGAAGGCAGCUCACUAAGCUGAAACUGACGCUCAGGCACGAAAGCGUGGGGAGCAAACAGGAUUAGAUACCCUGGUAGUCCACGCUGUAAACUAUGAUCACUCGUUGUUGGCGAUAUACUGUCAGCGACUGAGCGAAAGUAUUAAGUGAUCCACCUGGGAAGUACGAUCGCAAGGUUGAA
rnacentral:rRNA from 1 species